rnacentral:rRNA from 1 species
UGGGGGAUAUUGCACAAUGGGGGAAACCCUGAUGCAGCGACGCCGCGUGAGGGAAGACGGUUUUCGGAUUGUAAACCUCUGUCUUUAGGGACGAAAAAAUGACGGUACCUAAGGAGGAAGCCACGGCUAACUACGUGCCAGCAGCCGCGGUAAUACGUAGGUGGCAAGCGUUGUCCGGAAUUACUGGGUGUAAAGGGAGCGUAGGCGGGGAGACAAGUUGAAUGUCUAAACUAUCGGCUUAACUGAUAGUCGCGUUCAAAACUAUCACUCUUGAGUGCAGUAGAGGUAGGCGGAAUUCCUAGUGUAGCGGUGAAAUGCGUAGAUAUUAGGAGGAACACCAGUGGCGAAGGCGGCCUACUGGGCUGUAACUGACGCUGAGGCUCGAAAGCGUGGGUAGCAAACA